rnacentral:rRNA from 1 species
UGCCAGCCGCCGCGGUAAUACGGAGGGUGCGAGCGUUGCUCGGAAUCACUGGGCGUAAAGCGUACGGAGGCGGAUUGUUAAGUCGGGUGUGAAAGCCCAGGGCUCAACCCUGGAAUUGCGCUCGAUACUGGCAGUCUUGAGUACGGGAGAGGGAUAGCGGAAUGUCUGGUGUAGAGGUGAAAUUCGUAGAUAUCAGACGGAACACCAGUGGCGAAAGCGGCUUCCUGGCCCGAUACUGACGCUCAUGUACGAAAGUGUGGGGAGCAAACAGGAUUAGAUA